AACCUAAGUGGAGCUGAAAAAAGUUGGGAAAGAAAAACAACCGGGAGACUUAGGCGCCAUUUAUUUUAGCCAAAAGAAUAAUAGAGCACUUUUAACCUAGCCAAAUGGAAUGCUCAUUCAUUCGGAGGACAGAGAAUGAGGACUACGAACAGAGAAUAACAAUAAGAAUCACAGGCAAAAUUCUUAUAUUAUGUGCUGCUCUCUUCUCAACGGCGCCACUUCAAUCACAGGCAAAAUUCUCAACGGCGCCACUUCAAUCACGAACAGAGGAAAGCUAAGAGACAUGAAUUAGUUUGAGAAUACAGGGCAGAAGAUACCCAAUUUGUGGAAUUGGAAGCAACAGUGAACACAAAGCAAAAAAAUUGACUUUGCAAUUUCAAAGUGGAGACAAAGUUAGGGUUUUUUCUAUAUUCUUGAAGAGAUUAAAAAGCUUUUAUGUGGAGCUUGACGACGUCUUUUUUAACGUUACCCUUCCUUCUCAGAAUUUACAGUCCAGUCAGUAAUUAUGCAAAUUUUGUGGAUAGUGGGCAUACUUUCAUACUCUGCUUGGUUCCUGGCAACACGCAAAGGUGCGAUGCGAAAUUAGGAUUUUUGUAUGCUUUCUACGGCUCUUCUCUCUCGGAUUUAUGUGUGAUGUUGCUGUCAAUUGUAUUUUGUUGUUCUAGCAGGUAAGUUAUCUGGUCAUGAUGUCUGGUCAUAUUGAAAAACUCAACACUAAGAAAUUCUUUUACUCUCUUCAAGAAAGACUCGAAAGGGUUCAAUGGUUUUAGAGAAUACAAUCUUCAACUAGUCUUUUCACCAUACAAAACAAGUUAUGAAUUAGAUGAAGUCUACGUAAAGCUUACUGUUUACAUUCCUUCCGCAUCAGAGAAAAGCUUUGAGGACUACUACAUGAAUACUACAUAUGCUCUAGAGGGCCGAAUGUAACUGUAAAAGACAGACCUAUGGGCAGAGAAGGAAUGAAAAUGAAGACCAAAGUCUUACUAAUGGGAUUCAAAAAUGUUAAAUAUUGUAUCUACUGAAAGUAAUCUAGGAUGUAUGUACAGGUGAAGACAGUUGUGUUUCUUUUUUGCUGAAUAUUUUUGUUGAUUUCAUUUCAAGGUGUGAAACUUUAGGUGCCGUUUGGCCAUAAAAAUUAUUCAGGUAGUCUUUGACUUUUUUUUAGUAAAAGUUGUUUAGUAAUAAACUUCAAUCUCAUUAUGCAGUAAUUAGCUAAUCACAGUGAUGCUAUAUGAAUAUUACUCUUCUAAGAAUUGGAAUUUUAGGAAUUCACUCUACAACUAAACAUAGUCAGCAUAAUAGUUAAGAUAUCUAACUGUGUUAUUAAUUAGUCCAUGAAGUAUAAAUUUUGUUGCAACUUGUAGUUACUUAAUUUGCAAAUUGUGGUUGCUUAAUUUUCAGCAUCCGCUAGAGUUCUUGCCUUCACUACUGCUAUUGUUGUUGUGUUGUUGCUGAAAAACAAAGACCAGAACAGUUUUGUCGUCGCCAGUUGUGGUUCCCUUCUUUAUCUCUCUUUUUCCACAUAAUUCUAUUUAUUUUUCUUUUGAAAUCUAUGAUUGAAUUGGUUUGGUUUUUUCAUAAUGAACUGGUUUUUUCAUAGUGCUUGAGUCAGACGUGGAACUCAAAGCCCAAGUGUGUAACCUCAUCAAGUUGCCCUGUUCUCUACCCCCGAGCCCCGAUCAUGAUGAUGGAGAGGAUGAGGAGGAUCAGGAGCAUGGAGAUGAUGAGGAUCAGGAGAAUAGAGAGUAUGGAGAGACUGAAAUGGAGUAUUAGAGGUCAGUUGUUAUUUUUGUUUGACCAUUUGGUGAACAGAUGCUAUGUGUGCCAAAAAGAGUCAAGAGUCAGUCGACAUAUUUUUUUUGCAUUGCCCUGUUGCAGCAGAUCUCUAGCACAUGUUUACAAAAAAUUUUGGAAUCAGUUGGACAAUCCCAUAUAGCUUAAAAGGAGCAGUUGAAAGUUGGAGCUUAUGGAAAGUGAACAAAACCAUCAACAAGAUCUGGUAAAUGAUACCUGCAUGUGUUUUUUGGUGUUUAUGGACAGAGAAGGAACAACAGAUCUUUGAUGGGACUUCAACUCCUAAUUGUUCUCUAAAAUCAAAGUGUUUAGUUAACCUUUUUAGUUGGAGAAAUCUAUCCCCUGUGAAUGAUAUUAUCCCCCUUUUAGAUUUCAUUGGCUCCCACUCAGUGGCUUAGUAGCCUUGAGUCUUUUGCUCAUGGUUUUAAACUCCCAGCUCUUACUAGUUUUAUUUUGCAGUGUCUGGAGUUUUUAGCCUUUUCUUUGUAAAGUUUGCAUUUGCUUGAUGCUUUUGAAUAUGAAUAUAACAACUUAGUUCACCAAAAUUUUUUUUUGUUAUUUUUGUUCCAACUUAUGUUACUUUGGCUUGUUUGAAGUCUAGUGGGAUGCUUGUGAUAUAUUUUUGCAUAACGUCGAAGUUGGUUAGAUUCG